CAACAUGAGCGAUACAAUACUAGAGAGCCUGUAUACAGAGAGAGUGCCCAUAGGUGAAGUUGCCCGUGAUUGGUUGAUUUGCUUUGGCAGAAAAAUGACGCCAGACGUCUCUCGCGCUUCCUAUGUUCGCCGUGCUUUUGAGUUGAAUUGAAGUUCAGAGGACUUUUGGAAACGAUUAAAAGACGUUCGUAAACAUGCCAGGUUGUGCUGCAUUUGGUUUUCCAAUAGAGGCGAAGGUGGAUUUCACAUGUUAGCAUUUCCACACAAUGAAGAAAGACGAAAGCAGUGGGCCGUCGCAGUCAACAGGACUGACAUAAAUCAAACAGGAGCCUUGUGGAAACCAACCAAGUACUCUUAUCUAUGCAAAAGAUAUUAGCGCUGAGACGUUUAUGUGGGCCACCCUGUAUAAAGGAGAAGAUAGUAAACAGACCACACUUCCUUGGCAAUCACUCCUUCACAUUGGAAUCAGCCUACAUCGUCGUAUCUCAAAUAUCAGUCAACAACUGUCGCAAAAAUAUACAGUUUCUCAGUCGAUGACCACGAGAAACGUACCCAGAAUUAAUCAAGACUAACCACGUCCUCAGGAACGAUGAACCAAAUUAAAAUGGACGCACUACACUGGAAGGAAUGCCAUGAGCAAGGCGGAAGAAACCUCACGCACAACAAAAAUAAAUCUUCAUAGGUCAGUUUUGGGUCAAAGCGGCAUAUUAAAAACUAGUUUACGUCAAACAUCUGCUCCUCAAAAUUCUCCAAGCUAACUGUCUUGUGUAAUAUUGUGUAGGAGAAGGAAUUAAAUCAGUCUGUAGUGUAAUAUCAAACUCGGAUUACU